GGCGCGAAAAACUUCACACUGCAGGAAACUGUGAUGAGGGAACUCCAAGUGACUGCCCAAUGGGUAGCCUUUUCUUGAAUCUUAAUAGUUCUUGGAAUAAGGGCUGGGAAAGACCGGUGCCAGCCGCCGCGGUAAUACCGGCAGCUCAAGUGGUCGUCGCUUUUAUUGGGCCUAAAACGUCCGUAGCCUGUUUGGUAAAUCUGUGGGUAAAUCAACGAGCUUAACUCGUUGAAUUCUGCAGAGACUGCCAGACUAGGGACCGGGAGAGGUAUGAGGUACUCUGGGGGUAGGGGUAAAAUCCUGUCAUCCUCAGAGGACCACCUGUUGCGAAGGCGUCAUACUGGAACGGAUCCGACGGUCAGGGACGAAGCCUAGGGCACGGAACCGGAUUAGAUACCCGAGUAGUCCUAGCAGUAAACGCUGCGAGCUAGAU
rnacentral:rRNA from 1 species